rnacentral:rRNA from 1 species
GACGAACGCUGGCGGCGUGCUUAACACAUGCAAGUCGAACGGAAAGGCCCUUGCUUGCAGGGGUACUCGAGUGGCGAACGGGUGAGUAACACGUGGGUGAUCUGCCUUGUACUUCGGGAUAAGCCUGGGAAACUGGGUCUAAUACCGGAUAGGACCAUGCUUUAGUGUGUGUGGUGGAAAGUUUUUUCGGUACAAGAUGAGCCCGCGGCCUAUCAGCUUGUUGGUGGGGUAAUGGCCUACCAAGGCGACGACGGGUAGCCGGCCUGAGAGGGUGUACGGCCACAUUGGGACUGAGACACGGCCCAG